UACGUAGGGUGCAAGCGUUAAUCGGAAUUACUGGGCGUAAAGCGUGCGCAGGCGGUUAUGUAAGACAGAUGUGAAAUGCCCGGGCUUAACCUGGGAACUGCAUUUGUGACUGCAUGGCUAGAGUUUGGCAGAGGGGGGUAGAAUUCCACGUGUAGCAGUGAAAUGCGUAGAUAUGUGGAGGAACACCGAUGGCGAAGGCAGCCCCCUGGGUCAAGACUGACGCUCAUGCACGAAAGCGUGGGGAGCAAAAGGG
rnacentral:rRNA from 1 species